rnacentral:misc_RNA from 1 species
AAGUCGUAACAAGGUAACCGUAGGUGAACCUGCGGUUGGAUCAUUAAAAAGAUCUAGCCCGAAGUGGGACUGAGAGGUCGGAUUCGAGGUAUCCGCGACACUGUCGUGGGUGUUUCGCCGAUCACUCUAACCCAUGCCGGGUUUUCUCACCUCAAAAGUGAGUCAACAUUAUGUGAACUGUUCUGUCUCUGGCGGUGGGGUGGUGUCAAAACUACCUGUCAGCAUCCGGGUUCUCUCGGUGUGCCGUGGACAAGCCCGUCAAUGGUGUAUGUUUCAUACAAACUUUUGUUUCAUCAAUCUGUCUGACAUACCUUUGUAUCUAAAAUAUACAAAAACAACUUUUGGCAACGGAUCUCUUGGCUCCC